rnacentral:rRNA from 1 species
UGGGGAAUAUUCCGCAAUGGGCGAAAGCCUGACGGAGCGACGCUGCGUGAGUGAUGAAGGUUUUCGGAUUGUAAAGCUCUGUAGAGGGGGAAGAAGGGUGUCGCAAGACAUUUGACAGUACUCCUAAAGUAAGCUACGGCUAACUCUGUGCCAGCAGCCGCGGUAAAACAGAGGUAGCGAGCGUUGUUCGGAAUUACUGGGUGUAAAGAACACGUAGGCGGUUUUAUAAGUUGGAUGUGAAAUCCUUUGGCUCAACUGAAGAACUGCAUCCAAAACUGUAUUACUUGAGAAAGGGAGAGGAAAGCGGAAUUUCUGGUGUAGCGGUAAAAUGCGUAGAUAUCAGAAGGAACACCGGUGGCGAAAGCGGCUUUCUGGACCUUUACUGACGCUGAGGUGUGAAAGCUAGGGGAGCAAACAGG